UACGAGGGGGGCGAGCGUUGUUCGGAAUUAUUGGGCGUAAAGGGUGCGUAGGCGGCCUGACAAGUCUGAUGUGAAAUCCCUGGGCUCAACCCAGGGCCUGCAUCGGAAACUGUCGGGCUUGAGUAUGGGAGAGGUGAGUGGAAUUUCCGGUGUAGCGGUGAAAUGCGUAGAUAAUCGGAAGGAACACCUGUGGCGAAAGCGGCUCACUGGACCAUACUGACGCUGAGGCACGAAAGCUAGGGGAGCAAACAGG
rnacentral:rRNA from 1 species